rnacentral:rRNA from 1 species
AUUGAACGCUGGCGGCAUGCCUUACACAUGCAAGUCGAACGGCAGCUCGGAGCUUGCUCUGGUGGCGAGUGGCGAACGGGUGAGUAAUAUAUCGGAACGUACCCAAGAGUGGGGGAUAACGUAGCGAAAGUUACGCUAAUACCGCAUACGAACUAAGGAUGAAAGCAGGGGACCGCAAGGCCUUGUGCUCCUGGAGCGGCCGAUAUCGGAUUAGCUAGUUGGUGAGGUAAAGGCUCACCAAGGCACCGAUCAGUAGCUGGUCUGAGAGGACGACCAGCCACACUGGAACUGAGACACGGUCCAGACUCCUACGGGAGGCAGCAGUGGGGAAUUUUGGACAAUGGGGGCAACCCUGAUCCAGCAAUGCCGCGUGAGGGAAGAAGGCCUUCGGGUUGUAAAGCUCUUUUGUCAGGGAAGAAACGGUCGUGGCUAAUAUCCAGGGCUAAUGACGGUACCUGAAGAAUAAGCACCGGCUAACUACGUGCCAGCAGCCGCCGUAACAC